GGCGAUGUUUCAUUUCAAAUUUCCUGCCCUUAUCAACUUUCGACGGUAGGGUAGUGGCCUACCGUGGUGGUAACGGGUGACGGAGGAUUAGGGUUCGAUUCCGGAGAGGGAGCCUGAGAAACGGCUACCACAUCCAAGGAAGGCAGCAGGCGCGCAAAUUACCCAAAUCCCAACUCGGGGAGGUAGUGACAAGAAAUAACGAUGCUCCGGCCAUCGGUCGGGUAAUCGGAAUGAGAACAAUUUAAAUCCCUUAUCGAGGAUCAAUUGGAGGGCAAGUCUGGUGCCAGCAGCCGCGGUAAUUCCAGCUCCAAUAGCGUAUAUUUAAGUUGCUGCGGUUAAAAAGCUCGUAGUCGGAUUUCGGGUGGCGCCUACCGGUCCGCCUUUGGUGAGUACUGGUAGGUACCACCUUUCUGCCGAGGACGGGGUACUGGGCUUAGUUGUCUGGGCCUCGGAGUCGGCGAUGUCACUUUGAGUAAAUUAGGGUGUUCAAAGCAGGCUUAUGCUCUGUAUACACUAGCAUGGGAUGACACGAUAGGACUUCGGUUUAUCUUGUCGGUCUGUAAAUCGGAGUAAUGAUUAAGAGGGACAGUCGGGGGCAUUCGUAUUUCGUAGUCAGAGGUGAAAUUCUUGGAUUUACGGAAGACGAACUUCUGCGAAAGCAUUUGCCAAGGAUGUUUUCAUUGAUCAAGAACGAAAGUCGGGGGCUCGAAGACGAUUAGAUACCGUCGUAGUCUCGACCAUAAACGAGC
rnacentral:rRNA from 1 species